UGAAUUUGAAUUGCCAAGCGAGUUUUGUCAAAAUUUCCAAAGAAUAAAACAACACCAUUAUUUGGCCAAAUCCAAAUUGUAUGUUAGCUUUUGUGGCCCAAUGGCAUUCUUGCUCCUCCGAGUGGCCCUGGUGGCCGGAGCGGUAUAUGGCACCCAAGAGCUGGGAAUAUGGGAGAAUUCGCGGCACACGCAGGAGCUGUUCGAAGGCGCCAAACGGGAGGUGAGUCCCAUCACCGCUUACCUGAUGAACCAAUUCUGCUGCUGGCGCUGCGAGAAGUGCGACCCGGAUGUGGAGGUCAAGCCCUGGCAGGAGUCCAUGGUGGAUGCCUGGAACGAGUCGGUGAAGAAGACCUUUAACGCCCUGGGCGUUCAAGGGCCCAAAUACUUCAAUCGCUUUUCGCAGGAUAUGCAGCAGGGAUUCGACGACCUGGUGAACAACAGUGGAGACUGAUACAAAGGUAUAAAACAAAUUCUUAUCGGGGAAAGCACAAUUUAUUUGGAACUGAAAAAAUGAUACAAAGGUUUUAAACAAAUUAUUAUCGGAGGAACUGAAAAAUGUUCAUAAUAAGGAAAAGAAUAACAAAGACGAGAAUUUCGGAUGGUCAAACUAUCUCAAAGAAUUAAGCCCCGAG